GUCUACGGGCAUACCACCCUGAACAUGCCCGAUCUCGUAAGCUAAAGCAGGGUCGAGCCUGGUUAGUACUUGGAUGAGAGACCAUCUGGGAAUACCAGGUCCUGUAGGAG
rnacentral:rRNA from 1 species